AGCUCCAAUAGCGUAUAUUAAAGUUGUUGCAGUUAAAAAGCUCGUAGUUGGAUUUCUGGCAGAGUGUCCUUUGGCCAGCAUGACGUUUGGUCCAGAGCGCUCUACCAUCCUUCUGUUAACCUUGUCAGCAUUCACUUGCUGGCCUGGGGCUCAGAUAUUUUACCUUGAGAAAAUUAGAGUGUUUCAGGCAGGCUUUCGCCGGAAUACAUUAGCAUGGAAUAAUGGAAAAGGACUUCAACCUCUUCUGUUGGUCUGAGAGGCUGUAGUAAUGAUUAAUAGGGAUAGUUGGGGGCAUUAGUACUCAACUGUCAGAGGUGAAAUUCUCCGAUUCGUUGAAGACUAACUUAUGCGAAAGCAUUUGCCAAGGAUGUUUUCA
rnacentral:rRNA from 1 species